AUAAUAAUAAUAAUAAUAAUAAUAAUAAUGUAUUCCAGUCAUUCUCACUCGAGUCAUCUAAGAUCAUACGCCUCAAUGCCAUCCUUUGUUGACAGCUUGACCCUAAACAGAAGCUCAUUGAGAAGGAAAAUGACCUCAAAAGUUUUAACCAUGAAUGAGCAAAUAAAAUAGUAACUAGUAAAUUAAAGCAUUUGCAGUUGAUGAAUUCUAGUGCUUGGUAGACUUAGUUGUUAGACCAAAGCCAAAGGGAAACAGAGGGUCGUAGUGUUGAUCGCCAACAUUCAUCGGAAGCUGGUCUACUGUCUUGAACCAGGUGCGUGCAAGCUUGCCUGGUGAAUCCAUAAUCGCCAAAGAGAACAUCAGCAACACCUUGGCCUUCGGUUCCAGGAAGCCAAGCAGCUACAAGAGCAUACUAUAUUUGCAAGAUAUGGCUGGAUCACAACAGGGCGACCAGAUAUGAUAAUAACAACGCAUUUGACAGAUGUACACACAUUGGUGAUGGUACUUGGACCGGGUUCAGGUAUUGUCAGAUUAAGGCUGUCACCAAAUGUUUCUGCAUAUGGUGGCUCACCAACUACUACAAUGGCAUAGGAGAAUUUAUUGGACUUCACAAAGUUCGCAUCUGGGUUCUUGUUGUAUACAACUUUGGUGGCAGGAUCAACUGUGUUUUUAAUUGCAUUGAGAACUGUAGUACCAGAUGUGAGGUUAUUGCCACUAAGACCUUGCCAUGUGAUUGUCCAGCCACCACAUUGAUUGCCCAAGUUGUCAGCAUGGCUUCCAGCAACUAAUAUCUUGGGUGCUCUUUUGGGAAGGGGCACCAAUGGUUCAUCAGCAGAUUCACCAUUCUUUAGUAGCACAAGCGAUUUCCUUACAGCUUCUCUUGCUAAUUCUCUAUGUUCCUGGUUUCCAAGUUGGUUGGCCAAACUGAGAUCAGCGAGUGGGUUCUCAAAAAGACCCAUGGUAAAUUUAACCCUUAAGAUUCUUUGUACCGCGUCAUUAAUCCUGCUCAUGGGGAUAAUUUUGUUCUUCACUUGAUAGGUUAGGUCAUCAAUGAAUUCUGUGAAAUUAUAGGGAACCAUGACCAUGUCAAUUCCAGCACUGACUCCAGCUUCAACAGAAUAAGAAUAAUUGGCACCUGGAGGAGAGGUAAUCCUGUCAAUCCCCUG
rnacentral:misc_RNA from 1 species